rnacentral:rRNA from 1 species
UAAUACGUAGGGUGCUAGCGUUGUUCGGAAUCAUUGGGCGUAAAGCGCGUGUAGGCGGUUAGUAAAGUUGGGUGUGAAAUCCCUGGGCUCAACCGAGGAAGUGCAUCCAAAACUAACUAGCUAGAGAGUGGUAGAGGGAGGUGGAAUUCCGUGUGUAGAGGUGAAAUUCGUAGAUAUACGGAGGAAUACCGGUGGCGAAGGCGGCCUCCUGGACCAUUUCUGACGCUGAGACGCGAAAGCGUGGGGAGCAAACAGGAUUAGAUACCCUGGUAGUCCACGCUGUAAACGAUGGGUACUAGAUGUUGCGGGAAUUGACCCCUGCAGUGUCGACGCUAACGCAUUAAGUACCCCGCCUGGGAAGUACGGCCGCAAGGUUA